CGUUUUGAGGGUAAAAUCAUACCUGUAGAGCAAACGCUGCGGACACAGCAGCAGUUUUAAAAAAGAUUUUAAGAUUAAUUUUUUUGCUCCUCUCACUCUAGCAGUUGAGCUGCCUCACUCUAGCCCCAACAUUCCGUCCCAUACACACCCAUUAUAAACUCUGAAACGGGUGAAAAAACAUCAUGAAACUUAAACUGGAACUGAAGAAAAAGUAUAAUAGAUAUUGAAAAGAUAAAUACAAGUUGAAUAGUUGAAUGUCUUGUCUUCGUUUUAAAGUUUGAAUGGUGGCUCUAUGUCAACGUAUGUUGAAGUAGUAAGAGUUUAAAAAUGAGUAAGUUGAAUGAGAAUUUGAAGGGUCUCCCCAUUGAAAUACAUGGGAAAUUUUUGUUGAAUAAAGUUGAAUAAAAUUAAAAAUAUAAAUGUUAAAAAUGAGAAAAAUAGAAGCAAUGUUGUCCAAAAUAAUAGGAAUCUAACGAUGUUUGAAUGGUUUUUCUAAGUUGAACGGUUUUGAAGGAGUAGGCUUUCAAAAAACGUACGGAAUACAGAAUAAAAUAUAAUAAUAAAGAUUAGAAGAACAAUACUGUGAAUGCUUUUCAAGCAUUCACACUAAUAAUAACUAGAAAGUGCAUUUUCUGAAGAAACUGCAGUGUGAAUGCUUGAAUCUGAAUGUAUGCACUGAAAUGAAUUAAUUGCUGAAUUUUGAGUUAAAAAUAUUGAAUGAGAUAAAAAAAAAACAAAAAAAAAAAACGAAUUUAACCUGAAAACAAAGGUGCUGAACUGCUAAAAGCUGAAGGUUACACAGAAGAAGGAGUUGGAAAAAAACUGAAAAUGUUUUAAAUGUAAAUUAGAAAACCCUAAGAAAUGAGAAAAGAACAUUUAGAGUCAGAAAACAUCUGAAUGAAUAUUAAAAGGUCAUAUUCUUUGAAUCACUGAAUGACUCAAAUGUGAUCCCUCCACUUUGAUCCACACAGUUUAAAAAGUUUAAAUGCCUGAGCUUUGAAAGAUACGGUGUUGGAAAGAGAACAAUAAUGGCGACAAUUUGAGGGUAAAAUGAUGGCUGUAACACUGUGGACACAGCAGCAGUUGAAAGAGAAGUGCUUAAGAUGAAUCUUGGUACAGUGGCAGGCAGAGCUCGUUAAGCAGGCAGGUGUGAGCCUGGUUGCUAUAGUGACCGCACCCAAUGGCUCCAUACACACGCACACAGACAUGCACCUCACUUUUGCUGCUUAAAAUGAACAGAAAAGUCAGGCCGAAACAAAUCGCUCCCAAAUGAAAAGUAAAAGUCGUAUUGACAAAAUUCUUUCACCGUGAGCGACAGCAAUGUCUAGUCUACCUAAUUCUCAGUUUUCAUGUCUGUGGAGUUUAUUAUAUGGACGUGGUGACAGUGGAAAGACACCAUGCUCUUCUGAUUUUCAAACGAACCUUCUG
ensembl:lncRNA